rnacentral:rRNA from 1 species
UACGUAGGGGGCAAGCGUUGUCCGGAUUCAUUGGGCGUAAAGAGCGUGUAGGCGGCCAGGUAGGUCGGUUGUGAAAACUGGAGGCUCAACCUUCAGAGGUCGACCGAAACCAUCUGGCUAGAGUCCGGAAGAGGCGAGUGGAAUUCCUGGUGUAGCGGUGAAAUGCGCAGAUAUCAGGAGGAACACCAAUGGCGAAGGCAGCUCGCUGGGACGUGACUGACGCUGAGACGCGAAAGCGUGGGGAGCAAACAGG